AGUCCCAUGGUGUAACAUAUAAGAUUGCAAAUCUUAAGACGCAGAUUAAUAUUUGCUGGGGCUU